CAACUUACCUGGAGUCUGCUGGGAUAUGGGGCUGUAGUAGGGUAUAGGAGCAGUGGUGCAAUGUGUGUGAAAGGUUCAGUGUGUGGGUGGGCAGUGUGUAAAUGUGUAUGGUGUGUGUGUGUGUGUGUGUGUGGGGGCAGUGUGUGAAUGUGUAUGGUGUGUGUGUGGGGCAGUGUGUGUAUGGGGCUAGAGUUCACUCCUACUACUGGGACCACAAGGAAGUGGUGAGAGUGAACUCUAGCCCGUAGCUCCAGGGCUAGAGUUCACCCUCGUGAGAGCCGGAGCGUUGCCCCAGGUCCUCUCUUCCUCCCCUGCCGACUGGCUGCACGGUGCCUGUGGAACGGGGAGGGAGAUCGGCCGGCAGG
rnacentral:lncRNA from 1 species